ACUCUCAGUUGUUCCUAGGGUUCUCAUAUUGUUUCUGGUUGUUCGUUUGGUUCAAUCUUUCACUGGAACUCCGGCACUGGACGACUCCUUCAAGAGCUGCUUCCUUUUCCUCCUCAAGACGACCAAUCAGAUUUGAACGAAGACCGUCAAGUAGGUGUGGUCAGAAUAUGUACCUCCAGUGAAUAUAUAAUUGGAUUGUUACGGGACAACUGCAUAAGAAUAUGGAACAAAGAAGAUGGACAUCUUUGCAAUAUAAUAGAAAUGGAUUCUUUUACUCAUGACGUCACAGUGAUAGAUUCUCAUCACAUUGCAAUUGCACUACAAUCUCAACUUGUCAUUUAUGAUAUUCAAAGAAGAUCUGAGGUUGGUCGUAAAGACCUCGCCUCCAGCUCCUCCCCCCUCAUUAGGCACCUGUCAGCCAUUGAUUCCUCGAACCUCCUCUGCUCCAGUGGGGCUGAUCUACAGCUGGUCCCUUCUGGACUCAAGAUUAAAAGCGAAUAGUUGAUUAACCUCCUAAUAUUCUGUGGACAUAUUAUUACUUUCUCUUCAAAUUUAUAUGCCAUCAAUAAUCACUUAUUUUUAUUAUUAUUUGUUU